rnacentral:rRNA from 1 species
AGUGAACGCUGGCGGCAGGCCUAACACAUGCAAGUCGAGCGGCAGCGCAGCAGUAGCAAUACUGUGGGCGGCGAGCGGCGGACGGGUGAGGAACACAUCGGAAUCUGCCCUGUCGUGGGGGAUAACGUAGGGAAACUUACGCUAAUGCCGCAUACGACCUGAGGGUGAAAGCGGGGGACCGCAAGGCCUCGCGCGAUGGGAUGAGCCGAUGUCCGAUUAGCUAGUUGGCGGGGUAAGAGCCCACCAAGGCGACGAUCGGUAGCUGGUCUGAGAGGAUGAUCAGCCACACUGGAACUGAGACACGGUCCAGACUCCUACGGGAGGCAGCAGUGGGGAAUAUUGGACAAUGGGGGCAACCCUGAUCCAGCCAUGCCGCGUGGGUGAAGAAGGCCUUCGGGUUGUAAAGCCCUUUUGUCCGGAACGAAAAGCCGAUGGUGAAUAGCCGUCGGUGCUGACGGUACCGGAAGAAUAAGCACCGGCUAACUUCGUGCCAGCCGCCGCAGUAAAAC